AGUCGUCCUGCGCGGAAGAUGUAACGGGGCUAAGCCAGUUACCGAAGCUGCGGAUUCACAGUUUACUGUGAGUGGUAGGAGAGCGUUCUGUAAGCCUGCGAAGGUGUCUUGUAAAGGAUGCUGGAGGUAUCAGAAGUGCGAAUGCUGACAUGAGUAGCGUUAAAGGGGGUGAAAAGCCCCCUCGCCGUAAGCGCAAGGUUUCCUACGCAACGUUCAUCGGCGUAGGGUGAGUCGGCCCCUAAGGCGAGGCAGAGAUGCGUAGCUGAUGGGAAACAGGUCAAUAUUCCUGUACCGAUCUGUAGUGCGAUGUGGGGACGGAGAAGGUUAGCUCAGCCGGGUGUUGGAUGUCCCGGUUCAAGCCUGUAGUCGUGCCUGGUAGGCAAAUCCGCCGGGCUUAGAUGAGGGGUGAUAACGAGUCUGCUUGCAGACGAAGUGAGUGAUACCCUGCUUCCAGGAAAAGCCACUAAGCUUCAGCUAUAGACGACCGUACCGCAAACCGACACUGGUGCGCGAGAUGAGUAUUCUAAGGCGCUUGAGAGAACUCUGGAGAAGGAACUCGGCAAAUUGACACCGUAACUUCGGAAGAAGGUGUGCCUUUAGUAGGUGAACCAUUUACUUGGGGAGCCCAAUGAGGCCGCAGAGAAUCGGUGGCUGCGACUGUUUAUUAAAAACACAGCACUCUGCAAACACGAAAGUGGACGUAUAGGGUGUGACGCCUGCCCGGUGCUGGAAGAUUAAAUGAUGGGGUGCAAGCUCUUGACUGAAGUCCCAGUAAACGGCGGCCGUAACUAUAACGGUCCUAAGGUAGCGAAAUUCCUUGUCGGGUAAGUUCCGACCUGCACGAAUGGCGUAACGAUGGCCACACUGUCUCCUCCUGAGACUCAGCGAAGUUGAAAUGUUUGUGAUGAUGCAAUCUCCCCGCGGAAAGACGGAAAGACCCCAUGAACCUUUACUGUAGCUUUACAUUGGACUUUGAACAGAUCUGUGUAGGAUAGGUGGGAGGCUUUGAAGCCAGGACGCUAGUUCUGGUGGAGCCAACGUUGAAAUACCACCCUGGUGUGUUUGAGGUUCUAACCUUGGCCCGUUAUCCGGGUUGGGGACAGUGUAUGGUGGGCAGUUUGACUGGGGCGGUCUCCUCCCAAAGUGUAACGGAGGAGUUCGAAGGUACGCUAGGCACGGUCGGAAAUCGUGCUGAUAGUG
rnacentral:rRNA from 1 species